UCGGAGAGUUUGAUCCUGGCUCAGGAUGAACGCUGGCGGCGUGCCUAAUACAUGCAAGUCGAGCGAACUGAUUAGAAGCUUGCUUCUAUGACGUUAGCGGCGGACGGGUGAGUAACACGUGGGCAACCUGCCUGUAAGACUGGGAUAACUUCGGGAAACCGAAGCUAAUACCGGAUAGGAUCUUUUCCUUCAUGGGAGAUGAUUGAAAGAUGGUUUCGGCUAUCACUUACAGAUGGGCCCGCGGUGCAUUAGCUAGUUGGUGAGGUAACGGCUCACCAAGGCAACGAUGCAUAGCCGACCUGAGAGGGUGAUCGGCCACACUGGGACUGAGACACGGCCCAGACUCCUACGGGAGGCAGCAGUAGGGAAUCUUCCGCAAUGGACGAAAGUCUGACGGAGCAACGCCGCGUGAGUGAUGAAGGCUUUCGGGUCGUAAAACUCUGUUGUUAGGGAAGAACAAGUACAAGAGU
rnacentral:rRNA from 2 species